rnacentral:rRNA from 1 species
CCUACGGGAGGCAGCAGUGGGGAAUUUUGGACAAUGGGGGCAACCCUGAUCCAGCCAUGCCGCGUGAGUGAUGAAGGCCCUAGGGUUGUAAAGCUCUUUUGUGCGGGAAGAUAAUGACGGUACCGCAAGAAUAAGCCCCGGCUAACUUCGUGCCAGCAGCCGCGGUAAU